UACGGGGGGGGGCAAGCGUUGUUCGGAAUUACUGGGCGUAAAGGGCUCGUAGGCGGCCAACUAAGUCAGACGUGAAAUCCCUCGGCUUAACCGGGGAACUGCGUCUGAUACUGGAUGGCUUGAGUUCGGGAGAGGGAUGCGGAAUUCCAGGUGUAGCGGUGAAAUGCGUAGAUAUCUGGAGGAACACCGGUGGCGAAGGCGGCAUCCUGGACCGAUACUGACGCUGAUGAGCGAAAGCCAGGGGAGCAAACGGG
rnacentral:rRNA from 1 species